UACGAGUGCCCCAAGCGUUAUCCGGAAUCAUUGGGCGUAAAGGGUGCGUAGGUGGGUUGAUAAGUCAGUGGUGAAAUCCCCGAGCUUAACUUGGGAACUGCCAUUGAUACUAUUGAUCUUGAAUACCGUGGAGGUCAGCGGAAUAUGUCAUGUAGCGGUGAAAUGCUUAGAUAUGACAUAGAACACCAAUUGCGAAGGCAGCUGGCUACGCGAAUAUUGACACUGAUGCACGAAAGCGUGGGGAUCAAACAGG
rnacentral:rRNA from 1 species